AAAGAUUAAGCCAUGCAUGUGUCAGUACAAGCUAAACUAAAGUGAAACCGCGAAUGGCUCAUUAAAUCAGCUAUGAUUCAUUGGAUCUGUACACCCAGUUUUCCUUGGAUAACUGUGGUAAUUCUAGAGCUAAUACAUGCACAUAUAGUCCCUAACCUCACGGGAAGGGCGCUUUUAUUAGAAUCAAAACCGGUCGGGCUUCGGUCUGUAAAACCAGUUGUGAUGACUCUGGAUAAUUUAAGCUGAGCGCACGGUCUUUGCACUGGCGCCGCUUCUUUCAAGUGUCUGCCUUAUCAGCUUUCGAUUGUAGGUUAUGCGCCUACAAUGGCUAUAACGGGUAACGGGGAAUCAGGGUUCGAUUCCGGAGAGGGAGCCUGAGAAACGGCUACCACAUCCAAGGAAGGCAGCAGGCACGCAAAUUACCCACUCCCAGCCUGGGGAGGUAGUGACGAAAAAUAACGAUGCGAGACUCAUCCGAGGCCUCGCAAUCGGAAUGAGUACACUUUAAAUCCUUUAACGAGGAUCAAUUGGAGGGCAAGUCUGGUGCCAGCAGCCGCGGUAAUUCCAGCUCCAAUAGCGUAUAUUAAAGUUGUUGCGGUUAAAAAGCUCGUAGUUGGAUUUCAGGAUUGGACUGAAGGUUCGCCGUGAGGCGUUUAAAACCUAUCACGCUCCGAAAUCAGCUAUCACAACAACUUUGUGUAUGCCCACACUAGCUCGCACGGGGUGCUCUUAAUUGAGUGUCCCGAGUGGCUGGUAUGUUUACUUUGAAAAAAUUAGAGUGCUCAGAGCAGGCCAACUGAAUGGCCUGAAUGUCUAUGCAUGGAAUAAUGUAAAAGGACCUCGGUUCUAUUUUAGCCGGGCUUUUUGUGGAACCCGAGGUAAUGGCUAAUAGAGACAAAUGGGGGCAUUAGUACUGCGACGCUAGAGGUGAAAUUCUUGGACCGUCGCAAGACUAACUACAGCGAAAGCAUUGCCAAGGAUGUUUUCAUUAAUCAAGAACGAA
rnacentral:rRNA from 1 species